rnacentral:tRNA from 1 species
GGUGAGGUGUCCGAGUGGCUGAAGGAGCACGCCUGGAAAGUGUGUAUACGGCAACGUAUCGGGGGUCGAAUCCCCCCCUCCACCGCCA